GAUCCUGGCUCAGGAUGAACGCUAGCGACAGGCUUAACACAUGCAAGUCGAGGGGCAGCGGGGAGUAGCAAUACUCUGCCGGCGACCGGCGCACGGGUGAGUAACGCGUAUCCAACCUGCCCACCACUUGGGGAUAACCUUGCGAAAGUAAGACUAAUACCCAAUGAUAUCUCUAGAAGACAUCUGAAAGAGAUUAAAGAUUCAUCGGUGAUGGAUGGGGAUGCGU
rnacentral:rRNA from 1 species